rnacentral:rRNA from 1 species
GAUAACUGGCUUGUGAAAGCCAAGCGUUCACAGCGACGUUGCUUUUUGAUCCUUCGAUAUCGGCUCUUUUGGUCACUGUGAAGCAUAAUUCACCAAAUGUUUGAUUUUUCACCCUUUAAUAGGGAACGUGAGCUGGGUUUAGACCGUCGUGAGAGAUGUU